AUUUCCCUCUCACCAGGCAGCAUGCAAAAUUGAAAAUUUUCGAGUGGCAUUCAGACAACAGAUGUGAAAAACCAUUGUCUGAGCCUCUGAGGGCUUGUCCAUGAAUUAAGCGAGGGCUUCUUAAUGCUAUUCAAAAGUCAAAACCACGCCACCUAGCCUACUGCAUAUUGGGAAUGAAAGAAUUGACAAACCCCAACCUUAUCUCCUUGAGAAACCCCUUCUUCGACAGACCUCGAGUCCUCGACCCUCUCCCUCUCUCUUCUUCGACACAAGUCUCCCCCCUCUUCUUGACAAGCCCCAACCUUAUCUCCUCCAGAGACCCCGACCCUAUCUCUUCUUUGACAAACCCCAAGCAAAGCUCUCUCUCUCUCUUCGACGAAUCCCGACCAAAACCAUCUCUGCCUCUAGAUUGAAAACCUAAUGGGUAGCCUGGAGAGAGCCCUAGAUUGGAUACCAUCUCUUCUCCAAUUCUUCGAAUCUCUUUCUCUCACAGUCCAUUUUGGUCUCUCUACGUAGGAGCAGAAGAACCUGAAGGGUGAGCUCCUUCGACCCCAUGAACGGGUGAAGAGGAUCCAGUCGGUGCCUAGCACAGAUGACGAACAACCUCAUCGCAGCGGUCUAGCUCCAAAGCUGAUCCCUCCCGGAAGUUUUCUCUGCAGAAGAGCGAAGGAUGUUGCAAAAUGUAGAGUGGAACAGCUUUGCCCCUUCCCCUAUGACCUCAUCCAGCAAGAGCUGUAGCGAUAUCCUAUUUGUUUUUCUGCCACACCUUUUGGCCUUGUUUUCCAUUGACUUAUUUAUUUAACUGAUGGAAUACCAAAAUGCCAGCAGUACCCAAAGCAACGUCUGACAAAGUGGUCUUUACAAGAACUUGAUGCUCCCUUCCUUGUUUUCCUCCUCGGUGGUUCUCAAGCUGCUUCUCUGAAGUUGGUAGCUGAUUGUGAUUCUUUGUUUCAAUUGGUGUUAAAUAGCUAGCUUUACAUACCAUUUUAGGAGUCCUUUGACUUAUUCUUGAUUACUUAGGUAAAUAACUGUUUUAGUUAUUCCUUGAGCAGUUGCAUAGUGUUCUUCAAGAAAAUGAAGAAUCCAUUAGAGUCAUGAUGAGCUCAUACUUAAGAGUCGUGAUCAGUCAGUAUCCGACUAUGGUUAAAGUUUGAUUAGUAAAGAUGAUUGUAUGUUAUGCCCUUGGUUUUGGUGCAGCAAGCUUGCUGAUCAGUAUACUAUCAUUUCAGGAAAGUGUACACAAAUAUAAAGGAAGAGGACAUGGCAGAUUGAAGUAAUGCUUGGAAAAGAAGACAAAAGAUAAGCAUAGAAGUAAACAUCGCUGCUUGGGUGAUAUUGAUUGGAAAUUGCAGUUGAAAGUUGAUAUUGAUUGGAAGGAAACUCUUAAGACGCUGCUGGAAACUCAAAAGUGGGGUAGGAGAGCCAACCAUACUUAUGGUCAAGUGGAACUUUGAUGAAGUGCGUAAUGAGAUUGCAAAUUAUGUGAUGAAGAACCUGCUGAAGCUGUGAAGUGUUGGUCUUUUUUGGGUACAGUAAUGCAAGGUCUCAAGUGCAUUAGGCUAGAUGUCGGUCCUUUUUGGGUUGGCCUGAAUUGCACGUCUCUUCUAUAGAUGAGAUUAUGUAGGACGAGACUAUUUUAGCCACAUUUGUUGAUGUAUUUUGCUAUUGGAGAUCCGUAGACGUACGUGAUCCCUUCUGUUUUGUGGAUAAAAUUACCAUUAUCGGAUCCAUUUGUGGGAUUAUAAUAGCUAUUAUGACAGAAUUAUUGUUCA